rnacentral:misc_RNA from 1 species
UCGAGCCUCACUUUAAUAGAUUGAGAUCAUGUAGCAUUACCCGUCAACUACAAGGUUGAUUUGUAAGUGCACUCUACCUUCUUGAUGGAUGUCCCUUUGUCUUCCUCGGCUUGCUUCAUUAGAAACAAGAAGGAAACCGGAAAAACAAYCAAGGUACGAUUUGUGCCAAGGAUGCCAGUUGUUCGAAUGCAAUGCCUCCUUCUUUUUGUUGCGCGGAGUGUUCGCCCACUGGUGUGAGAUUUUGCAUGACUCUUGGUAAUGGAUAUCUUGGCUCUCGCAUCGAUGAAGAACGUAGCGAAAUGCGAUACUUGGUGUGAAUUGCAGAAUCCCAUGAACCAUCGAAUCUUCGAACGCAAGUUGCAUCCGAGACCUUCGGGUCGAGGGCACGUCUGCUUGGACGUCAUGCUUUGAGUCACUCCAAGCACCUCCCCUACACUAAACUGUUGUGUGAGUAUCAGUGUGCAUGGAUGUGGAUAUUGAUCCAUUGUGCUUUUGAGGUGCGGUGGAUUUAAGUAGUGGACGUCGCAAGGUUUGCAUUUGGUAAACGGUGGAUCGAGUAAAUGCAUGAAGCCUCCAUUUGCACACAUGAUUCCUAUACAUGAUGUAUAGUAAGUAAAAUCCAUAACGAUGUUUGCGCUUUAGCAAGAUCGAACC